AUCACUCGAAAGCCAUAAAGAAAGCAACCAACCUAGCCAUGCAGUAAAGAUAAACCAUUACUUAAUAUCUCUCCACUUUUCCAAUUUGAAAAUCAUUUUAUUAGCUCAAAUCCCACAUAUAUUAACAAGCAAACAUCUGUCUCAACCUCAUAUUUCUUUUCAAUUAUAGGACUAUAUAAAUAGAGAGAAAGAUGAGUAAGGUCCUCCACCUGCUUCUGCAGCUCCUCGUGGUGCUCUCGAUCAUCGCCGUCGCUGCCGCAAACUGGAAGCAUCGUGAACUGGGAAGGAAUAUUGCAAGAGAGAAGCAAAUUUGGGAUUCUUCCAAAUUUGAUCUCAACUACGUCACCAAAAGAAAAAUUCCCAAUGGACCUGACCCUAUUCAUAACAGAAGAACCGGCAGCUCUCGUCGACCACCGGGCCAAGCUUAGGUGCCCGACCUCAGCUACAAAUGAUGUGCGACAUAAACCACAUUAGACUAGUUAUAAUUUCUAAGUGUAGGUUCCCAUCUCGUUUGUACUAUGUGAAAAAAUAUAAUCGAACUUUUAUAAUUAGUACAUUUUUUAA